UUAGGAAUUUUGCGCAAUGGGGGAAACCCUGACGCAGCAACGCCGCGUGAGUGAAGAAGGCCUUCGGGUUGUAAAGCUCUUUCAGAAGUGAAGAAGUUGACGGUAACUUCAGAAGAAGCACCGGCUAACUCCGUGCCAGCAGCCGCGGUAAUACGGAGGGUGCGAGCGUUAUUCGGAAUGACUGGGCGUAAAGCGCGCGUAGGCGGCUUUUUAAGUCUGAUGUGAAAGCCCCGAACUCAAUUUGGGAAGUGCAUUGGAUACUGAAGAGCUAGAGUACAGGAGAGGAGAGCGGAAUUCCAGGUGUAGAGGUGAAAUUCGUAGAUAUCUGGAGGAACAACGGAGGCGAAGGCGGCUCUCUGGACUGUAACUGACGCUGAGGUGCGAAAGCGUGGGUAGCAAA
rnacentral:rRNA from 1 species